rnacentral:rRNA from 1 species
AAGCUCGUAGUUGAAUUUCGGGGUUAGUAGGUUGGUCAUGCCUCUGGUAUGUACUGGUCUCACUGAUUCCUCCUUCCUUAUGAGCCGUAAUGCCAUUAAUUUGGUGUUGCGGGGAAUUUGGACUGUUACUUUGAAAAAAUUAGAGUGUUUAAAGCAGGCUAACGCUUGAAUACAUAGCAUGGAAUAAUGAAAUAGGACGUUCGAUCUUAUUUUGUUGGUUUCUAGGAUUGACGUAAUGAUUAAUAGGGAUAGUUGGGGGCAUUAGUAUUCAAUUGUCAGAGGUGAAAUUCUUGGAUUUAUUGAAGACUAACUACUGCGAAAGCAUUUGCCAAGGAUGUUUUCAUUAAUCAAGAACGAAAGUUAGGGGAUCGAAGACGAUCAGAUACCGUCGUAGUCUUAACCAUAAACUAUGCCGACUAGGGAUCGGAUGAUGUUAAUUUUUUAAUGACUCAUUCGGCGCCUUACGGGAAACCAAAGUGUUUGGGUUCCGGGGGGAGUAUGGUCGCAAGGCUGAAACUUAAAGGAAUUGACGGAAGGGCACCACCAGGGGUGGAGCCUGCGGCUUAAUUUGACUCAACACGGGGAAA